rnacentral:rRNA from 1 species
CACAAGCGGUGGAUGAUGUGGAUUAAUUCGAUGCAACGCGAAAAACCUUACCUACCCUUGACAUGUCCGGAAUCCUGCAGAGAUGCGGGAGUGCCCGAAAGGGAAUCGGAACACAGGUGCUGCAUGGCUGUCGUCAGCUCGUGUCGUGAGAUGUUGGGUUAAGUCCCGCAACGAGCGCAACCCUUAUCAUUAGUUGCUACGCAAGGGCACUCUAAUGAGACUGCCGGUGACAAACCGGAGGAAGGUGGGGAUGACGUCAAGUCCUCAUGGCCCUUAUGGGUAGGGCUUCACACGUCAUACAAUGGUCGGUACAGAGGGUUGCCAAGCCGCGAGGUGGAGCCAAUCCCAGAAAGCCGAUCAUAGUCCGGAUUGUUCUCUGCAACUCGAGAGCAUGAAGUCGGAAUCGCUAGUAAUCGUGGAUCAGCAUGUCACGGUGAAUACGUUCCCGGGUCUU